rnacentral:rRNA from 1 species
ACAGUGUCAGGCGGGCAGUUUGACUGGGGCGGUCGCCUCCUAAAGAGUAACGGAGGCGCUCAAAGGUUCCCUCAGAAUGGUUGGAAAUCAUUCAUAGAGUGUAAAGGCAUAAGGGAGCUUGACUGCGAGACCUACAAGUCGAGCAGGGUCGAAAGACGGACUUAGUGAUCCGGUGGUUCCGCAUGGAAGGGCCAUCGCUCAACGGAUAAAAGCUACCCCGGGGAUAACAGGCUUAUCUCCCCCAAGAGUUCACAUCGACGGGGAGGUUUGGCACCUCGAUGUCGGCUCAUCGCAUCCUGGGGCUGUAGUCGGUCCCAAGGGUUGGGCUGUUCGCCCAUUAAAGCGGUACGCGAGCUGGGUUCAGAACGUCGUGAGACAGUUCGGUCCCUAUCCGUCGUGGGCGUAGGAAAUUUGAGAGGAGCUGUCCUUAGUACGAGAGGACCGGGAUGGACAUACCUCUGGUGUACCAGUUGUCGUGCCAACGGCAUAGCUGGGUAGCUAUGUAUGGACGGGAUAAGUGCUGAAAGCAUCUAAGCAUGAAGCCCCCCUCGAGAUGAGAUUUCCCAACUUCGGUUAUAAGAUCCCUCAAAGAUGAUGAGGUGAAUAGGUUCGAGGUGGAAGCGUAGCGAUACGUGGAGCUGACGAAUACUA